rnacentral:tRNA from 1 species
GAGAGAUAAGCAUUGUUAGGGUGUGCAUCCAGUUUGAACCUGGAAGGGGGGGGUGUGAGUCCGCCAUCUCUUA